GACGAACCGUGCGAACGUUGUUCGGAAUUACUGGGCGUAAAGGGCGCGUAGGCGGCACAGCAAGUCGGGAGUGAAAGCCCGGGGCUCAACCCCGGAACGGCUUUCGAAACUGCUGAGCUAGAGUACAGAAGGGGCAACCGGAAUUCCCAGUGUAGCGGUGAAAUGCGUAGAUAUUGGGAAGAACACCUGAGGCGAAGGCGGGUUGCUGGGCUGAUACUGACGCUGAGGCGCGAAAGCCAGGGGAGCAAACGGG
rnacentral:rRNA from 1 species